UGCUUGAAAGCCUUGAACUGGUGGUGUAGGUCAUAAGAUUGCUUGAAAGCCUUGGACUGGUAGUGUAGGUCAUAAGAUUGCUUGAAAGCCUUGGACUGGUAGUGUAGGUCAUAAGAUUGCUUGAAAGCCUUGGACUGGUAGUGUAGGUCAUAAGAUUGCUUGAAAGCCUUGAACUGGUGGUGUAGGUCAUAAGAUUGCUUGAAAGCCUUGAACUGGUGGUGUAGGUCAUAAGAUUGCUUGAAAGCCUUGGACUGGUAGUGUAGGUCAUAAGAUUGCUUGAAAGCCUUGAACUGGUGGUGUAGGUCAUAAGAUUGCUUGAAAGCCUUGAACUGGUGGUGUAGGUCAUAAGAUUGCUUGAAAGCCUUGAACUGGUGGUGUAGGUCAUAAGAUUGCUUGAAAGCCUUGAACUGGUGGUGUAGGUCAUAAGAUUGCUUGA